GUGGCAGCCUGGCAGCUCGGCAGCUCGGCAGCUCGGCAGCUCGGCAGCUCGGCGACUCUUGUGAACCUGAGAUGUCGCUCUCUAUCUUCUUGGGUUACUUACAAGUUGAACAAGGGUGUAGAUGGAAGAAUAUCAAAGAGAAGAUGCAACUCUGCACAGGAUCCAUGGGAGGAGAAGGCCUGAGCUGAGUCACCAUAUAGGAGGCCAUGCCUUAAACACCAUGCGGCAGAGAUGCCUUGUCUGAAGAUGGGAUUGUUGAUCCGUAUGUCACCAAGAGCAGAGACCUGCACAGCAUUUCGAAGGUGUGUUUGUGGAGGAGUGGAGUAAUGCACGCAGCUGAUCACCACACACCAGCCCAAUGAAACAUGGCUGAUGUCCGGACUGUGAAGGCCUGAUGAUGCUUCACAAGGAAAAAGUCGUGCUAAAAGCGAGCACAAUCGUGACUGAAGUUGUCUUACAAUCUAAAGGUUGUCAGUUUGAUCCCAGCUCUGUGCAGUCGAUGUAUCCUGAAACAGUGAAUGUGUGACUUUGUAAAGACUUGAUUCAAAAUGGAUACAGUCCAUUUACCAUGCAUGUCACUUUUCUGUUUUUAUAAUAAACUGGUCUUGUGUAUAACCUGUCAA